rnacentral:lncRNA from 1 species
GGCUGGGCACGGGCAUUCUACAGUAGCCAUCAGUGUUGUCUAGAUCUGCAUUGUCUAGCAGGUUAGUCAGUGAUCUUCUAUGAAGAAGUCACGCCAGGAGACAACAGGCUUAGCCACAUAUUGUAUGAAGAAGUGAACCUGUUGAGCAAUCAAACCUCACCAAGUCCUGGAGAAAUGAUGAGUAAUGGUGGGUUUGGGAGCAAAGACAUUUUCUUUGAUGGGGCUAGUGGAAGCCAUGAAGCAAGCCAGAGCUCAGGUGUUGGGGUUUCCUCUGACUGGAAUAUGGAGGCCCAACACAUAAAACAUUGUGCCGUGCUUAUAAGCUAGUUGCUAAGUACCAUUGAAGUUGACAGUGUUUUCAAGAUUAGAGGGUUUUCAGUUCACAAGGUCUCCUCCGUCAUGGGAAUGAUCAUGGAGGACAAAAAAUAUUUGUAGUAAAUUGUGUACAAAUCCAUUGCCAUGACCUUAAAGGCCAUUGAGGACAGGCAGGCUUUGGCUAAAAGGCGAUCCAAGGAGCACCUGAUUCCUCUGCCUAUUGGAGUGUAUGUCAAAGUGCUUGGCAUCCUCCAGGCCUCAAUGGGAAACAGAAGGCUCAAGAUCUUGAGCAUCUUUGUACUGGAAGACAUGAAGGAGCUGUCCACACACCACCUGGAAAUUGCCAAUGCCCAUUCCAUGCUGGAUCAAAGCCCUGCAGGCACAGCCACAGAAAUCCA